rnacentral:rRNA from 1 species
UGGGGAAUAUUGGACAAUGGGCGAAAGCCUGAUCCAGCCAUGCCGCGUGUGUGAAGAAGGUCUUCGGAUUGUAAAGCACUUUAAGUUGGGAGGAAGGGCAUUAACCUAAUACGUUAGUGUUUUGACGUUACCGACAGAAUAAGCACCGGCUAACUCUGUGCCAGCAGCCGCGGUAAUACAGAGGGUGCAAGCGUUAAUCGGAAUUACUGGGCGUAAAGCGCGCGUAGGUGGUUUGUUAAGUUGGAUGUGAAAUCCCCGGGCUCAACCUGGGAACUGCAUUCAAAACUGACUGACUAGAGUAUGGUAGAGGGUGGUGGAAUUUCCUGUGUAGCGGUGAAAUGCAUAGAGAUAGGAAGGAACACCAGUGGCGAAGGCGACCACCUGGACUAAUACUGACACUGAGGUGCGAAAGCGUGGGGAGCAAACA